rnacentral:rRNA from 1 species
AAAUUGAAGAGUUUGAUCAUGGCUCAGAUUGAACGCUGGCGGCAGGCCUAACACAUGCAAGUCGAACGGUAACAGGAAGCGCUUGCUGCUUCGCUGACGAGUGGCGGACGGGUGAGUAAUGUCUGGGAAACUGCCUGAUGGAGGGGGAUAACUACUGGAAACGGUAGCUAAUACCGCAUAACGUCGCAAGACCAAAGAGGGGGACCUUCGGGGCUCUUGCCAUCGGAUGUGCCCAGAUGGGAUUAGCUUGUUGGUGGGGUAACGGCUCACC